UACGUAGGGCGCAAGCGUUGUCCGGAAUUAUUGGGCGUAAAGAGCUCGUAGGCGGUCUGUCGCGUCGGAUGUGAAAGCCCGGGGCUUAACCCCGGGUCUGCAUUCGAUACGGGCAGACUAGAGUGUGGUAGGGGAGAUCGAAUUCCUGGUGUAGCGGUGAAAUGCGCAGAUAUCAGGAGGAACACCGGUGGCGAAGGCGGAUCUCUGGGCCGAUACUGACGCUGAGGAGCGAAAGCGUGGGGAGCGAACAGG
rnacentral:rRNA from 1 species